AGGAAAUUUCCUAUAGGAAUUUCCUAUAGGAAUUUCCUAUAGGAAUUUCCUAUAGGAAUUUCCUAUAGGAAUUUCCUAUAGGAAUUUUCCU